CCUAAUGUAAACUUAGCCUUUUUAAAUCUGGUAAAUGAGAGCACAAAAGAAGAUUUACUUGAUCCUUCGAUUAAUAUCGGAACAUGUAGUCUCCAUACCCUUCGUCGUUCUUUCCAAAUUGGGGAAAAGGCUACAGACUGGAAUAUUAAGAAGCUACUUUUUUCUCUGUAUAAAAUAUUUGAUUAGUCUCCUUCUCGACAAGCUGACUAUGAAUGUUUAACAGCUGCUACUUUUUCCGAUUACCCUCUUAAAUUUUGUGCACACAGACGGAUUGAAAAUAGUAAUGUUUCCAAACGUGCCCAAAUGAUUUAUCCUAUGAUAAUUGAAGUUGUAAAGUUUUGGAAAGGCUUACCAAAAUCGAAGCAACCUGGAACGGAAAGCCUGGAAAAAACACCAGUUUUGAUUGUCUUGCUAAAGCUGUGGAAUAUGUCACUAUACCAAUGAAACUUAGACUUUUUAAGGAAAUUGCAACAUCAUUAAAUGAUUUCCUAUUAAGAGAGGGUUGGCAUAAGUAAAGCAAGCCCUAAAAUUAAUAAGAUUGUAUCACGAGAAAAAGUAGUAAAAGUGAAGAAAUCCUUUUAAUUGAAAAUUUAGAGAUUGUAUCACGAGAAGAAGUGGUUGUAGUUCAUUUAGAAACAGAUUGUAUCACGAGAAGAAGUGGAAAAAUAUUUCUGUAUUAUAAGAUAAAGGUUGAAAUACUUUGAAACAGCUGCUGAUAGCGAUGAAAAAUUGUCCAUGCCACCAGCUAAAAAGUUAGCAGUUUGUAAUACAAGUGACACUGAGGAGACAUAUCCAUCAGUUUCCCCAAUAUUGAAGAAAUCUUUUAAUUCCCAAAAUAUUUUACAACCCACAACUGUUCGAUAUAUUGAGCCAUUUAGUUCGAAUCGUUCUCUACUGAUAUUUUCGUCUUCUGAUCAGAGCUUGGCAACUGUUAUGGCUGCUUUAGGCACCCGAUUUCCUGGUAAAGGAUUACCUUGAUGGGUUAUUUGUUUGAAGGUUGAAUUAAAUGUACUCUUUAAUAUAUUUUUGAAUGUAAUUAUACUAUUUUUUUCUUAGUUUUUUGCGUUAACUUAAAUAAAAAGCUAAUCUAUUUAAUUGGUAUUUAUUAAAGUCAAAAUUAUUUUUUUAUUGCAGCAUUUGAGAAGAAAAGUUUAGAGUUGCUUGACAGUAUUCAAUAUGAUUUGAAAAAGUUAAACACUUGCCUAAUCAAUUUAGAAAAAGGUUUAGUGUUUCCUUCUGUUAGCAAUCAGAGCAUAGCAGGACCAUCCCCAUCAGUUAAAUGGAAUUAUUUGCCUGUUAAAGAGGAAAAAGAACUUCUAGAUUUUAAUUAUGAUACGGAAAAGAAUGCUUUAUAUACAGUAUAUUUAUUAAAUUGUGUUGUGGUUUUAACCAUUUAUGCCCAGUUAACUCAUUUAGUAGAGCAAUCAGCCUACUAAUCAUAGGAAGCCUCACAUUAGAUACUUGAGAUUGCAUUCACCCCGAUUUUUUUACUGUUGUAAAGACAACCUAUACUAGUGAAUGAAUAAUCUGAUACUAUAGUAUCAGAUUUUUUACACAAUAUAUUGUGUAAUUAUUGGUAGGGGUAUGAGAAGCUCAUAAACCUGUAUAAAAUUUUGUGUGGUAUUCUUCUUAGUGUUUUUAUCACUUUAUAAAACAUUUAUGUCAAUAAGUCUUGAUCACCAAAACAGGUUGACCUCAGGGAUUGCAUCUAUUUAUAACAAAUUGCUUUUUCUCCGUGUCAUCUUUGAAUAUCUCAUUAUAGAUAAUGAAGUUGUAACAUUAUGGAAACCUGUUCGAAAUACACACAUUUAUAGAACCAUUAAACUUUUAUUACAACCAAUUAUAUAUUUUUGAAUAUAAUAAUAAACAAACUCGAUUUUUUUUUGUUUGUUUUUGUUUUAGAUGAACUUCCUUGCAUCGGUUGGAGGCGACGAUUACAAGCAACUUACCACGGCUAUCUUAAAACAAGUAAUGGCUAAAAAAGUAUGCUUGUUAUACUUUAUGUAUGGCAGGAAACAAAAGAAAUCAUUUUCGCCUCUUACAAGGUGCAAGGUGGUUAUAGUUGCCAUAAAAAAAAUUUGAAAACGCUAAUGACAAAAGCAUUAAAGAAAGAAUCGGCAGCUUUCUGGCAACGGCCAUUGAUAGAGAAGGCGGAAGAAAGAAUAGAACCGCAAUUGAGCAAAGCCCACUAUUGAGCGAUGAAAAUGAAUGUCGCCAAGAUAAUGAAAAUCAAUGCCCACUAUCUGAUAGUGAGAGUGUAACGCUGUAAUAUAUAUAUAUAUAUAUAUAUAUAUAUAUAUAUA